rnacentral:rRNA from 1 species
CAGCAGCCGCGGUAAUACGCAGGGUGCGAGCGUUAAUCGGAAUUACUGGGCGUAAAGCGUGCGCAGGCGGCUUUGCAAGACAGAUGUGAAAUCCCCGGGCUUAACCUGGGAACUGCGCUUGUGACUGCACAGCUAGAGUAUGGCAGAGGGGGGUGGAAUUCCACGUGUAGCAGUGAAAUGCGUAGAGAUGUGGAGGAACACCGAUGGCGAAGGCAGCCCCCUGGGCCAAUACUGACGCUCAUGCACGAAAGCGUGGGGAGCAAACAGGAUUAGAUACCCCGGUAGUCCCUGUCUCUUAUAC